rnacentral:rRNA from 1 species
UACGUAGGGGGCAAGCGUUGUUCGGAUUCACUGGGCGUAAAGGGUGCGUAGGCGGUCGGGUAAGUCUGAUGUGAAAUCUCACAGCUUAACUGUGAAACUGCAUUGGAUACUAUCCGGCUCGAGGAAUGGAGGGGAGACUGGAAUACUUGGUGUAGCAGUGAAAUGCGUAGAUAUCAAGUGGAACACCAGUGGCGAAGGCGGCCAACUGGACGAGUACUGACGCUGAGACACGAAAGCGUGGGGAGCAAACAGG